rnacentral:rRNA from 1 species
AUUGAACGCUGGCGGGAGGCUUUACACAUGCAAGUCGAACGAGUGGCGGACGGGUGAGUAAUAUAUCGGAACGUGCCCAGUGGCGGGGGAUAACUACUCGAAAGGGUUGCUAAUACCGCAUACGAUUAGAGCGGCCGAGAUCGGAUUAGCUAGGUGGUGGGGUAAAGGCUCACCAAGGCGACGAUCCUUAGCUGGUUUGAGAGGAUGACCAGCCACACUGCGACUGAGACACGGUCCAGACUCCUACGGGAGGCAGCAGUGGGGAAUGUUGGACAAUGUGGGCAACCCUGAUGCAGCCAUCCCGCGUGUAUGAGAAGGCCUUCGGGUUGUAAAGUACUUUUGUCAGAGAAGCGUUAUCCGCAGAAUACGCACGGGCUAACUACGUGCCAGCAGCCGCGGUAAUUC